GGUAUACUGACCUUCAUUGGGAGUUCAUGUAAAGGAAGGGUAAAGAUCGUCGUAAAAACAAAAGAUAAGGAGACGGACUAUCUUGUCUGGUCCUCGAUCGUCCCCGAUGAGUUGAAGAUAAAUAGUAAGAUAAAUAUAAAGACUCUCGAGAAGACUGUAAACGGCAAAUCUUACACGAAUGUUGUUGGGUUGAGCGUCAUUACACCAACAGUACAACAGUCAACCCCAGCUGCAAAACACCGUAAAAGAAUAGCUAAACGACCUACCGUCACUACAAGAGACCCAGAUGCAGAUGAGGACACAGGACCAACCACCAGCGCAGCCAGUCCCAAAAAAGUGA